UACGAAGGGUGCAAGCGUUACUCGGAAUUACUGGGCGUAAAGCGUGCGUAGGCGGUUUGUUAAGUCCGUUGUGAAAGCCCUGGGCUCAACCUGGGAAUUGCAGUGGAUACUGGCGAGCUAGAGUGCGGUAGAGGAUGGUGGAAUUCCCGGUGUAGCGGUGAAAUGCGUAGAGAUCGGGAGGAACACCCGUGGCGAAGGCGGCCACCUGGACCAGCACUGACGCUGAGGCACGAAAGCGUGGGGAGCAAACAGG
rnacentral:rRNA from 1 species